AUUGAACGCUGGCGGCAGGCUUAACACAUGCAAGUCGAGCGGGGAAGAGUAGCUUGCUACUUGACCUAGCGGCGGACGGGUGAGUAAUGCUUAGGAAUCUGCCUAUUAGUGGGGGACAACAUCUCGAAAGGGAUGCUAAUACCGCAUACGUCCUACGGGAGAAAGCAGAGGACCUUCGGGCCUUGCGCUAAUAGAUGAGCCUAAGUCGGAUUAGCUAGUUGGUGGGGUAAAGGCCUACCAAGGCGACGAUCUGUAGCGGGUCUGAGAGGAUGAUCCGCCACACUGGGACUGAGACACGGCCCAGACUCCUACGGGAGGCAGCAGUGGGGAAUAUUGGACAAUGGGGGGAACCCUGAUCCAGCCAUGCCGCGUGUGUGAAGAAGGCCUUUUGGUUGUAAGCACUUUAAGCGAGGAGGAGGCUACCGAGAUUAAUACUCUUGGAUAGUGGACGUUACUCGCAGAAUAAGCACCGGCUAACUCUGUG
rnacentral:rRNA from 1 species